CCUACGGGUGGCAGCAGUGAGGAAUAUUGGUCAAUGGCCGGAAGGCUGAACCAGCCAUGCCGCGUGAAGGUCAGUGCCCUAUGGGCGUUAAACUUCUUUUGUGCGGGAGCAAUCAUGGUCACGUGUGGCCAGACGAGAGUACCGUACGAAUAAGCAUCGGCUAACUCCGUGCCAGCAGCCGCGGUAAUACGGGGGAUGCAAGCGUUAUCCGGCUUUAUUGGGUUUAAAGGGUGCGUAGGCUGUGAGGUAAGUCAGCGGUGAAAUGCCCCCGCGCAACGGGGUGAAGUGCCAUUGAUACUGGCUGGCUGGAAUGAGGAGGCCGUGGGAGGAAUGUGUGGUGUAGCGGUGAAAUGCAGAGAGAUCACACAGAACACCGAUUGCGAAGGCAUCUCACGAAUCCGCGAUUGACGCUGAUGCACGAAAGCGUGGGUAUCAAACAGGAUUAGAUACCCGUGUAGUC
rnacentral:rRNA from 1 species